rnacentral:lncRNA from 1 species
GUGAGCUAUGAUUGCUCCACUGCACUCCAGGCUGGGCAACAGAGCAAGACGCUGUCUAAAAAAAAUUAAAAUGUCGGCUGUGUAGAUACGUGGCAGAUACAGCCCCUUCCUCCCCUCCUGCAAUCCCUUCCCAUCUCGGUUUUGUUUUUGCUCGCAUGCCUUGUUGCACACAUAGACAUUCAGCAUUUCCCAGGCUCACUGUAUGGUGUUUCUCUGAUCGUCUGUUUGUCCAGCCCUGUGUGAGCAUCGGGAAGCCUAGCAGUGUUUGUAAAAAAUAGCUAAUGAGGAAAUGAAAUUGCACCAAAGCCUGGAUACCACGGUGUUUAUCUUAACCACAAAGAGUGACUCAGAAGGCAUUGGGAAAUAACUGUUGUCUUCAGAAUUUUACUUUUUUGUAUUGCCUUAUUGAAUAUAAAUUGCCUUUACAUAUUUUUGUGGAUUGAAUGUGUCCCCUACAUUUCGUGUGUUGGAAGCUUAACCCCCUAAAUUUCUAUGUUAAUUGGACGUGGGGCCUUUGGGAUGUAACUAGGAGCAGAGACCUAGUCAUCAGGUCAUUGGGGUGGGGCCCCUGAUGAGACCAGUGGCUUUGUAAGGAGAGGAAGAGAGGCCUGAGCCAACUCUUAAUCUGUGUCACCAUGCGAUGCCACCCACCACGUCAUGGCACACUCACCAGAAGCUGAGCAGAUGCCAGUGCCAUGCCCUGGGACUUUCCAGCCUCAAGAACUGUAAGGAAUAAAUUUAUUUUCUUUAUAAAUUAUCCAGUCUCAGGUAUUCAGUUAUAGCAAUAGAAAAUGAACCAAGAUAUAAUCUUAGCAUUCAUCUUUGUUUCUGCUUCCCCUAUGAGUGACUGACCAUGUUCUCAUUUGAGGUUUACAUUAAUGAGGUUGGAUCCACUCGUCCCAUCAUGACACUGAGGCUCAGUGACUUGCCCAAGACCACAGGGCUAUGCAGGUCCUCAAAGCAGUUCUAUUCUGCUGUGCACAGCUCUUUGAUUUUCUUCAUCUAUUCCUAAAGCAAAGAGGAAAAGGGGUGGAAUGAAAUGUGCUCAGAUCCUGAGAACUCACUAUAGGUCGAAGGAAAAAGGAGUGAUUUUGUGGCUACUAAAAUACGCAUCCCUUUCCCCAAGAUCAGGCCACCCUGUAGGUUACAGACAACAUUCAAGGCAAACAGGCUUCCUGGCCACAUUCCCUAGCAUGAUCUUUGCUUAUUUAUGGAAAGGCCUUUCUUUAUAUUUCAGCUGUUAGACAAGAUAAUUUAUGCCGAUUUUUUUUGUUCGUGAUUAACUUGCUCUUUUUCAAAAGUCCUUUCUUUUCUACAAUUCCAUCCUUCUUGAGCAAACACACAUAAAACAGAUUUAGUGCUACCGACUGUUUCAAUAUCUUAAGCGUCCAUGAAAAUCAACAUAACUCAAAGGCCCAGAGACUGAAAGCAAUGAGGACUCCUUUACUAGAAAGGAGAUAGGCAAGUGCAAAAGGGACUCAGUGCUCUGCUGAUUUCUGCAUACUUUAUUAUGCUCUUUAUAGGAAUUUUCUUGGAGGCAUGUCUGAGCAUAACUCACCGCCUUCAGGUACUGGGGUUUCCAUCCUCAGUGGCAGAGGAAGAAGAGGAAGGAGUUGAAGGCAGCCGCGUCCAUGACUAGGAGCAGCAGCGUGCACUCUGGAGAACACUUAGGGUUUCGUAGAAUAGACAAUCUAUGAGUUUGAAUGGGAUGUCCCAGCCUUGAUGGUUUUAAGAAUAAAUCUGCCUAUAAAACUCUAGAAUAAAAAUUCAUUUAGAUGAUCUCUUUACUCAUACAUUUCAGCUACAUAUAUAAAGACGUAAUAGAAAAGCACGAAGACAAAUGUCCAAAUUUAGGUUUUACACAUAAAUAAAAGUGAGUUCUAGAAUGAUUUUGGCUAAGCCUACUGUUUUUUUAAGCAAACAUCAUCUUUAUCAUUAUUCCCCUAGCUAAUUGCUUUUGAGAUUAUUCGUAACGAUGGCAGCGGUUCUGUUACCAUCAAAUACACACAUACACACACACACACACACACACACACAUAUGUAUAGGUAUAUAUACAGCAUGGAUACAAUAUAACAUAAAAAGGUCUUCUAUACUUAGCCCUUUCCUUACGCUAUCAAGAUGAUAUCAUUCCUGAAGCCCUUCCAAACGCAGCCCUCCUUAAUCUUUUCCAAGAGAUACUGAGUUUAGAGAGUUAUUACCUAGGAUUGAAUGUGAAAACUACUGGAAAUGAUGGAAAUGCAGAAUAUUUCCAUCAUUUCACAAACGUGGGUUGUGUUUUGAUAGGAAGAGCAAUACUUCUGCCUGUUGUGUUUACUGAGGUGUUCCCAGGUCCUUGGACACCGGAGCAAGGCUCGCAUAUCUGCCGAAUGAACUUAGCUCCCACAUUCCAAGCCUUUCUGCCCGUGAGUGUGCCGAGGAAGCAGUUCUCAAGAGUCACCUUCAGGCCUUUGCAGCUGAUGCCUGAUUCAGGUUCUUGGCAGCCGUUUCAUCCACGCAUCAGAAGAAUGAGCGAGGAAUGUGAGAAAUGGGCAGAAAGCCAUCAUCCUUAGCUAACCACUCUGCAGGACACGCAUACCUAAGAUCUCUGUGAACGUCGAAAGGCAAUAGUGUUGUAUUUCAGCUGAUAAGAGAGUCCCCGAGUUAAGACUGAUUGGCGCAUUGAGAA